rnacentral:tRNA from 1 species
AUUUACUUAGUAUAAUAGUACAUUUGACUUCCAAUCAAAAAGUCUAGAUUUCUCUAGAGUAAAUA